CAUCUCUACAAGCUAAUAGAAUCUAACUAAAAUUUUUCAUAUCUUAUUCUCAUCCUCAUCUACAUAGCUUAAUAUCUAAUUUGAAUCCUAAUGAGCAGGUAAGUGCAAUAUGAAACUUUGAAAAAUAUUAGCCAAAAAAAAAAAAACAGCAUCAACAUAUAUAUAAUGAAUAAAUUGCCUCACCGAGCGCAGCUGGAUACGACCGCAGAGGUCCAACCCUGAACAGUUGGGGCAAAAAUGGACACAAUAUUCAAGCUUGAUACAGGUCUGAAUUUGGAUUGUAAUUAAAUAUUUGACACAUAAUAGGUUUCUGACACAGAAUAACUGUAGUCAAAGAACUUAGAAUUGGUUAUAUGAUUUGAAUUUAUAUUC